AGAUUGAACGCUGGCGGCAGGCCUAACACAUGCAAGUCGAGCGGUAGAGAGGUGCUUGCAUCUCUUGAGAGCGGCGGACGGGUGAGUAAUGCCUAGGAAUCUGCCUAGUGGUGGGGGAUAACGUUCGGAAACGGACGCUAAUACCGCAUACGUCCUACGGGAGAAAGCGGGGGACCUUCGGGCCUCGCGCCAUUAGAUGAGCCUAGGUCGGAUUAGCUAGUUGGUGAGGUAAUGGCUCACCAAGGCGACGAUCCGUAACUGGUCUGAGAGGAUGAUCAGUCACACUGGAACUGAGACACGGUCCAGACUCCGUACGGGAGCAGCAGGUGGGGAAUA
rnacentral:rRNA from 1 species